CCAAACCCAUUUCAGCCUCCUCCAGCUCCACUUAUUCCAAACCCCUUUCAGCCUCCUCCAGCUCCUCUUAUUCCAAACCCUUUUCAGCCUCCUCCAGCACCACCGGCUCCACUUAUUCCAAACCCUUUCCAGCCUCCUCCCGCACCUCCAGCUCCAUUUAUCCCGAACCCCUUCCAGCCUCCUCCGGCACCUCCAGCACCUCCAGCACCAUGGUUUCAUCUUCCACCGAUUCCAGGACUAACUCCACCACCAUCGCCACCACCUCCACCUCCACCAACCUUCCCGUUUCCUCUUCCCCCAUUCCAUUUCCCACCUGUACCGCCUUUCCCUGGUAUCCCCCCUGCCUCUGCCUCUACU
rnacentral:lncRNA from 1 species